UCGAGAAUCUUCGGCAAUGGGCGCAAGCCUGACCGAGCGACGCCGCGUGGAGGAUGAAGGCCUUCGGGUUGUAAACUCCUGUCGAGGGGGAACUGAUCCCUGGAGGAAGCACGGGCUAAGUUCGUGCCAGCAGCCGCGGUAAGACGAACCGUGCAAACGUUAUUCGGAAUCACUGGGCUUAAAGCGCGUGUAGGCGGUCCGGCACGUCUGGUGUGAAAUCCCCGGCUCAACCGGGGAAUGGGCACGGAUACGGCCGAACUGGAGGGGGGCAGGGGAUCCGGGAACUUCCGGUGGAGCGGUGAAAUGCGUUGAGAUCGGAAGGAACGCCCGUGGCGAAAGCGCGGAUCUGGACCUCGCCUGACGCUGAGACGCGAAAGCUAGGGGAGCAAACGGGAUUAGAUACCCCAGUAGU
rnacentral:rRNA from 1 species